rnacentral:rRNA from 1 species
AGCAGCCGCGGUAAUUCCAGCUCCAAUAGCGUAUAUUAAAGUUGUUGCAGUUAAAAAGCUCGUAGUUGAAUUUCGGGGUCAAUAAGUUGGUCAUGCCAAUGGUAUGCACUGGCUUUAUUGAUUCCUACCUCUUGACGAACUGUGAUGCCAUUAAUUUGGUGUUGCAAGGAAUCAGGACUGUUACCUUGAAAAAAUUAGAGUGUUUAAAGCAAGCUUACGCUUGAAUACAUUAGCAUGGAAUAAUGAAAUAGGAUGUUUGAUCCUAUUUUGUUGGUUUCUAGGAUCGACGUAAUGAUUAAUAGGGAUAGUUGGGGGCAUUAGUAUUCAAUUGUCAGAGGUGAAAUUCUUGGAUUUAUUGAAGACUAACUACUGCGAAAGCAUUUGCCAAGGAUGUUUUCAUUAAUCAAGAACGAAAGUUAGGGGAUCGAAGACGAUCAGAUACCGUCGUAG